rnacentral:rRNA from 1 species
AGCGAACGCUGGCGGCAGGCCUAAUACAUGCAAGUCGAACGGCUCUUCGGAGCAGUGGCGGACGGGUGAGUAACGCGUGGGAAUGUGCCCUUUGGUACGGAACAACACAGGGAAACUUGUGCUAAUACCGUAUGUGCCCUUCGGGGGAAAGAUUUAUCGCCAUUGGAGCAGCCCGCGUUGGAUUAGCUAGGUGGUAAGGUAAGAACUUACCAAGGCGACGAUCCAUAGCUGGUCUGAGAGGAUGAUCAGCCACACUGGGACUGAGACACGGCCCAGACUCCUACGGGAGGCAGCAGUAGGGAAUCUUGCGCAAUGGGCGAAAGCCUGACGCAGCCAUGCCGCGUGAAUGAUGAAGGUCUUAGGAUUGUAAAAUUCUUUCACCGGGGAAGAUAAUGACGGUACCCGGAGAAGAAGCCCCGGCUAACUUCGUGCCAGCCGCCGCCGUAAAAC